rnacentral:rRNA from 1 species
UACGUAGGGUGCGAGCGUUAAUCGGAAUUACUGGGCGUAAAGGGCGCGUAGGCGGCCUGUUAAGUCGAACGUGAAAUCCCCGGGCUCAACCCGGGAACUGCGUCCGAUACUGGCAGGCUUGAAUCCGGGAGAGGGAUGUGGAAUUCCAGGUGUAGCGGUGAAAUGCGUAGAUAUCUGGAGGAACACCGUGGCGAAGGCGGCGAUCCUGGACCGGUAUUGACGCUGAGGCGCGAAAGCUAGGGUAGCAAACGGG